ensembl:lncRNA
UUCACUUUUAAAAGUCUGCAAGUACUGAGAGCAUUUGGCCAUUUGAUUCACCUUGCUUGAACAGUACACCUGGGUCGGGUACCUGUCAUGUGAUUUACACAGUGAAUGGCCCUGCUUUUGGAGCAAGUUAAUGUUAUAAUAUCCCCAUUUAUAUUCAGAACAGUCAACACUUUUGAGCUCUCAGAAUAAUAAAAGCACCUGCAUUUAAUAUACAUGGAAGAAUGGAAAGGCAAAUAGCAGAUAAGGCACAAUCAGACAUCUCCAAAUUUUAGUGAAAUCUGCUCGACACUUCUGAAUGCCUCUACGUCUCCAUGAUGGAUCAGAAAUAUGCAUAUCUCUACAAGGAUAGCAUGGAAGAAAAGAACUGUCUCUAGGGGCACACAGGUGGCUGCUCUGUGGACAUGUGCCAUCCGAACACGUUCCAGACAACAUAAGCUAAUUCUGGCUAGAAUUUAUUGAUGAAGACUCAGAUCUUGAAAUCUGAAUUUAAAACAACCAGCUUUUGGAUGAGCCAGACCAAGGACCCCCAGGGACCUUAGAAGCAGAAGAUAAUGGACCUUUUCUAUAGAACAUUGGACUCUUUGUUUCUCACCUUUAGUGGCCUGAUGUCAAAUGGGUCAUCUUAGUCAAGAAGGCAGGCAGGACCAUGUAUUACAAGCCUAAUUGCUGGGGAUUUUUCUGUAUCUGAAGCAAUUAUAGGCAAAGGGAAUGUUUAGAAGUAAUAAAAUUUUAAGACUUUAAGGGUGAAUGACAGAUAAACUACACAUAUUUAAAGUAUAUAAUUUGGUAUAUUUUGACAUGUGUGUAUACACACCAGGAAACUAUCACCAUAAUGAAGAAAAUGAAGAUAUCCAUAUCUCUGCUGGUUUCCUUUCGUCCUUUUUUCUUUCUUCUCUCUCAGUCCUGUGUCCCUCUUCCUGUACCCAGGCAUCAGCUGACCUGCUUCUGUCAUUGUGGAUUAGUUUGCACUUUCUAGAAUUUUACUUAAAUGGGAUCAUAAGUUCUUUUCUGACUUUUUUCAUUCAGUGUAAUUAUUUUGAGACUUAUCCAUGCUGUAGUAUUUAUCAGUACCUUAUUGCUUUUUAUGGGUGAUUAAUGUUCCAUUGGCUGGCUAUACUAUAGUUUAUUCAUUAAGCUGUUGAUGACAUUAGGGUUCUAGUUUGAGGCUAUUACUGAUAAAGUUGGUAUGAAUAUUUACAUGCAAGUGUUUUCUUUUAGACAUUUGUUUUCAUUUCUCUUGAGUAAAACCUAGGAGUAGAAUGGCCUGGUAAUCCUGUAGGUGGGUGUUUUACUUUUUCAUCAACUGCCAAGAAGUUUUUCAAAGUGGUUGUAUAAUUUUCUAUUCCUACUGGCAACAUGUGAGAGUUCUGGUUCUCUAUCAUCACUAGCACUUGGUUAUAUCCAGGACUUACUUUUUUUUUAUUAAGUUUAUUGGUACAUUUUAGGUAUACAAUACAGUUACUUUCACCAUUGGUAUCUUGUACCUUUACAUGAUAUAUAUUGGUUCUUAUUUUUUCCCCCUUCUCCUGCCAUCCCUUCAACCCCUCCACCCUUCCCUAUUUACAAAGACUUUGUUUCCAUUUUUUCAUUUUCUCAUAAUUUUUCCUUUCCCUUCUUUCCUUUCCCCUACCCCUCCCACUUUCCCUUCCUCCUUUGAACCUUUUCUUCCUAUUUCACGUUAUCAAUCAUACAUUUUGAUCCUUAUUUAUACUUUUAGUUUCUCACACCAGAGAAACUAUUUGGUAUUUACAUAUGCAUGCCCUGUUUAUUUCACUUAAGAGUUGCAUAUCGAGGCCAUACUUUAAGUGAAAUAAAUGGGACACAUGUGUAAAUAGCGAAUAGUUUCUGUAGUGUGAGAAACUGAUAGUGUAAAUAAGAGUUAAAAUGAUUAAAAUGAAUAAUUGAUAAUUUGAAAUAGGAAGAAAGGUCCAAAGACGAAGGAGUGAAGGGAGGGGAAGGGGAAAAGAAAAGAGGGAAAGGAAAAACUAUGAGAAAAGAAAAAAAAAUGGAAAUGAAAUCUAUGUAAAUAGGGAAGGGCGGAACGGGUGAAGGGCGCACUAGUAAUGGGGAAAAAAAAUAAGAACCAAGAUACAUCAUGUACAGAUACAAACACCCAAU